rnacentral:lncRNA from 1 species
UCAACUUCAACCGGAAUUUGAUUUUUCAUGAGAUAUUGGCCCUAGCUAUCAAUAAUUAAUGUCCUUAAGUUGACAUAUUCUAAACUUGACCAGAAAGAGAAGUAAUUUGCUUUAGCCUACACGAAAGAGAUCAAAGAGUAUUAUGCUCCUUAUUAGUUUCCUAGUGGUGACAUCGACAGGAUCAGCUCGACCUCGAACUCAAACACCCUUCCAGCCUAGCGUCACAAGAUGAAUCUGUUUGCUAUUUGGUGUUUCUAUUUCAUGUAAGUCUUUCUUUUUCUGACAAUAACAGACUCAACUAGAACUCGAAAACCUUCCAAUCUGGUGUGGAAAUUUGCUUCAUUAUAAAUUUGGCGUCCUUGUUUAACUCCAAUAUGGGAGAUGUAAAUUUGUAUCUCAUUCAUUUUCGCUCUUGAUUUACGUAAUAGCUUUCUUAUUUUCUCUUCAACUUGCAGGGCCCACCUUCUAAAGAUUCAAAUAUAGAUAUCAAUUUACAUGUUCCCGUCAAGAUGAAUAUUUGCAUCCCUUAAAAGUUGCUCAUUUGAGAGCUUUCAGGCUAAUAAGAAAUGCAAAAUGCUCAUUAAAAGUCAUUUGAAUAUGCUCCCCGAGCAUAAUAUAUACAUAUGAAAGUAUCUUGGUUCUUUCAUUUAUGUAAACGGAUAUAUAACAAUAAAUAUUACUGUGUCUAUUUAUUUACCUUUUGGAUAAUGAUCGUGUUCCUCUAUGGAGGACUUACUUGUCCUUCCAUUUGCG